CUUCUGGUGGCUCAGAUGGUAAAGAAUCUGCCUGCAAUGCAGGAGACCCAGGUUCAAUCCCUGGAUGGAGAA
rnacentral:tRNA from 1 species